AUUGAACGCUGGCGGCAGGCCUAACACAUGCAAGUCGAGCGAGCGGCGGACGGGUGAGUAAUGUCUGGGUAACUGCCUGAUGGAGGGGGAUAAAUCCUGGAAACGGUAGCUCAUACCGCAUACCAUCAGAUGUGCCCAGAUGGGAUUAGCUAGUCGGUGGGGUAACGGCUCACCUAGGCGACGAUCCCUAGCUGGUCUGAGAGGAGGACCAGCAACACUGGAACGGAGACACGGUCCAGACUCCUACGGGGGGCAGCAGUGGGGAAUAGUGCACAAUGGGGUAAAGCCUGAGGCAGCCAUGCCGCGGGUGUGAAGAAGGCCUUCGGGUUGUAAAGCACUUUCAGCGAGGAGGCGUUACCCGCAGAAGAAGCACCGGCUAACUCCGUGCCAGCAGCCGCGGUAAUAC
rnacentral:rRNA from 1 species